AUGUUAUAGCUUAAUUUCUAUUUAGAACCAUAUUAAAUACAAAUAAAGCAGCUUUAGCGGCGCUAGAAAUAGCGAGUAUAAUGAAACCACAAUAUGACACAUGGGCCGCCCGCUUGACAUCGCAUUAAGUAGCAGCAAUUGUCUUGACACCAGCAUUGUGAGCCUCGCUACCGAAGCCUCAUACUAAGCCCAAAUAGCACAGAAUAGUGUGUGCAGUGAUACGGUGAAGACACCCAACCUCCGUGUUCGACAACUCCGCAUGAUUUGUGUGGCACGAGAAAUUAAUCACCAUUGACGGUAAAAUAAACACCGUCAGUUAGCCAACAACGGACGACUUGUUCGGAGACGAUCGCCACGGGUGCAAACAAUACUGGUCGACAUUUAGAUUAGUGGCACCAUUCGAUUUUCAUCCAAUCUCAAAGGUAUAUUACACGGCUGGCUACUGCAUCACCCAUAUUCUCAUAGUCUGUAUAGUGUUACAGCAAUUGCACGUGGCUUUACCAGAACGCAUAGGUUUUGCAUGUGGGAUCGCAUGUAUCACUAGGUAAGCCAUACUCGAUGCGAGAGCGUGCAUUCCACUGACCUUGACUUAACCUUUUAGUACACGACUGCAUCGAUAGACGAGGGCAUUAUCAUUGCAAAGCGCACAGAAAGGCCUUCGCACAAUCAGAAGGCCUUUCUUCCCUUUGCUAAAUUCGCAGCAUCACAGACUGAGUCACGUGGCUUGCGAGCGGAGCUCAGCAGCACACACGAAAGAACCGGCACAUAUCGACUGU